rnacentral:rRNA from 1 species
AACGAACGCUGGCGGCAUGCCUAACACAUGCAAGUCGAACGAGACCUUCGGGUCUAGUGGCGCACGGGUGCGUAACGCGUGGGAAUCUGCCCUUGGGUUCGGAAUAACAGCGAGAAAUUGCUGCUAAUACCGGAUGAUGACGUAAGUCCAAAGAUUUAUCGCCCAAGGAUGAGCCCGCGUCGGAUUAGCUAGUUGGUGAGGUAAAGGCUCACCAAGGCGACGAUCCGUAGCUGGUCUGAGAGGAUGAUCAGCCACACUGGGACUGAGACACGGCCCAGACUCCUACGGGAGGCAGCAGUGGGGAAUAUUGGACAAUGGGCGAAAGCCUGAUCCAGCAAUGCCGUGUGAGUGAUGAAGGCCUUAGGGUUGUAAAGCUCUUUUACCCGGGAUGAUAAUGACAGUACCGGGAGAAUAAGCCCCGGCUAACUCCGUGCCAGCAGCCGCGGUAAU